rnacentral:rRNA from 1 species
GAUGAACGCUGGCGGCGUGCCUAAUACAUGCAAGUCGAGCGAACAGACGAGGAGCUUGCUCCUCUGACGUUAGCGGCGGACGGGUGAGUAACACGUGGAUAACCUACCUAUAAGACUGGGAUCACUUCGGGAAACCGGAGCUAACACCGGAUAAUAUAUUGAACCGCAUGGUUCAAUAGUGAAAGCCGGUUUUGCUGUCACUUAUAGAUGGAUCCGCGCCGCAUUAGCUAGUUGGUAAGGUAACGGCUUACCAAGGCGACGAUGCGUAGCCGACCUGAGAGGGUGAUCGGCCACACUGGAACUGAGACACGGUCCAGACUCCUACGGGAGGCAGCAGUAGGGAAUCUUCCGCAAUGGGCGAAAGCCUGACGGAGCAACGCCGCGUGAGUGAUGAAGGUCUUCGGAUCGUAAAACUCUGUUAUUAGGGAAGAACAAAUGUGUAAGUAACUAUGCACGUCUUGACGGUACCUAAUCAGAAAGCCACGGCUAACUACGUG